rnacentral:rRNA from 1 species
CCGGCGCACGGUGAGUAACACGUAUCCAACCUGCCGUCUACUCUUGGCCAGCCUUCUGAAAGGAAGAUUAAUCCAGGAUGGCACCAUGAGUUCACAUGUCCGCAUGAUUAAAGGUAUUUCCGGUAGACGAUGGGGAUGCGUUCCAUUAGAUAGUAGGCGGGGUAACGGCCCACCUAGUCAACGAUGGAUAGGGGUUCUGAGAGGAGGGUCCCCCACAUUGGAACUGAGACACGGUCCAA